UACGGAGGGUGCAAGCGUUAUCCGGAUUCACUGGGUUUAAAGGGUGCGUAGGUGGGCAGGUAAGUCCGUGGUGAAAUCUCUGAGCUUAACUCAGAAACUGCCGUGGAUACUAUUUGUCUUGAAUGUUGUGGAGGUGAGCGGAAUAUGUCAUGUAGCGGUGAAAUGCUUAGAUAUGACAUAGAACACCAAUUGCGAAGGCAGCUCACUACACAAUUAUUGACGCUGAGGCACGAAAAGCGUGGGGGAUCGAACAGG
rnacentral:rRNA from 1 species